GGGUGAACCAGCUGCCCCAGCUGGUGUUCUUCAAGCAGACAAAGCUGUUAGGAGCACUUCUACUCCCCUGGAGGGUGCAUAACUGUAACUCUCUGAAGAUGAAGUGUUUGGAGUGUGUCCACUAAGUCAAGAGUGGAGGCCUUCAUCCUGUGAUUAAUAUCCUCUGGCUGUCCCUGCUUCUGCCCCCCAAGAAGCAACUGAUUCUGAAUACCUGGAUGAAGGGCUUCCGAGGAGAAAACAUUCCCACAACUCUGCAACAACCACAAAACAAACAUUUGAGCCGGAGACGGGGCUAGCGCUCGGAAACCCUGCUGCGCUCUGCUGCUGUUUCACAUAUGGUGUUUCUGGGAAGGGCCCAGAAACACUGAGGCCAUCGUCAGACUAGCUAUGGGAAAGAGAACCCACAAAUGGACUGAGCUCACGUGCAUCAUCUGUGACUCACUGAUCUGAUCACAUCUUACUGUUUUGCAAUGUUUUGAUUGGUUAGACAGAGAGAGCGAGGGAGAGGGAGAGGGAGAGGGAGAGAGAGAGAGAGAGAGAGAGAGAGAGAGAGAGAGAGAGAGAGAGAGAGAGAGAUUAAAAUUUAAUGGCUGUGUCAACACAAAAUAAAAAUAUCUACAGAAGAGGCUUGUUGGUCAGAAAGUAAGACUGGAAAGGCACUAGAGUGCUCCCCAUAUGAUUAGGCUGAUUCCUUGAGAACAUUAUACUGCCAUAGAGUUAGACUGAAGCAACAAUGUAUAAAUCUGUUAGGCAAUCCAAACAUUCUAUUAUAAUAAUAUUUAAUAUCCAAAUAUUUGAUAUUUAUCCAUGUUAUCCCCUAGAUGAAAACUAUGACUAAAAUGUACCACUUUAUAGAUCUUUUCAGAAGCAGUCACAUGUUCAUUGAUUUGCAAAAAGUAUAAUGUUGCCUAAAGGAGCUGUUGACAUCCUGUUGUUUUGCUGAAUGUUAUUGACCAUUUGUCUACAGCGCAAGCUGGGGUCAAAUCCUGGUCAACUUCCCCUCUCUGUACUCUGAGGAUACUUGUAUGUCGAUUUAUGUUUCUAUUCUGAAAUGUUUCUGAAUGCUUCUGGCUAAAGAGCUGUGCAUUAAUGUAUUUCCGUCUUUGUGGGAACUAUUAAGCUGUAAUUUUAUAAGAAUAUCAGCUGCUUCAAAAUAGUGUGUGGAAACUGGUAACUUUGUCAAAGUAUGUUUAACACUAAAAGACUGCAGAGAACGAAUCUGUGUGAUUCAAUGAAUGUGUCAAAUAUCUGUGUGCUGCCCCCCCCCCCCCCCUUCCCCCCAAAUACAUGAUUUCUGAAGCUUAGCAUAUGAUGUUAAGUAAAGCUGCUUAAAAUCCACUUGCUGAGUCUUGACAGUGAGAGCCUCAGGGUGAGGUGAGACACAGGAAACUGCUGUGGCAUUGUUCCAGAAAGCUAUUUAAUCUCCAUUGGUGAUGAUCUGACAUAUUUAUCUGUCAUAUGAAACGAAACAGACAUGUAAUAUCGCUGAGAUCACUUCUGACAAAUGAAUAAUCAAUCUGAGGACAUAAAUGUAAACCUUACCAGCAGGAUUGCAGUGGUCAUUACACACUUCCCCUUCAAACUACACCCUUUGGUGAAAACGUAUCCCAUUCAAUCCAAGAUUCCAAUGGUCAUUAUUCUAAUUAAUAGGUUUCAAUAUAUAUUUUACACAUUUAGUAUAUUUCAUGAGUUGUUGAUUUUUGAAGCCACAUUUUCGUUUCAGUAGUGUUCAGCUAAGACUGAGUGCUUCAGAAUCAGUGAUUAAAAUGGGUCAGAGACUAUGGUGGUAGCAGUUUAAUGAUCCUCAAGAUCCUCAUAUCCUCAAAAUCACUAUUAUACAGUCUCAUUUUGUUGACAGGCCAUUGCGUUCAUAAAAAGUAGGUUCUUUGAAUGUGUAAGUCUGGAAUACUAAUGAUACAACAAAUUGUGAUGACAAACCUUCAUAAUCGUAACCAAGCGCAGAAAGAUUUUGAUUCACAUAAUUCACAUUAUUUGGUAGAGCUGGAGCUUUUCUGGCCUCUUAAACAUGUUAAACUGGUUUAAAAGGAACAGAUGUAAAAUCUUGUAAUGAGAAACAGUGACACCAGCUAUCGCAUGAUGCAAAUAAAGUUUGUGUUGAUACUGGCA